CUUGAAACACGGACCAAGGAGUCUAGCAUGUGCGCGAGUCAUUGGGAAUAACUAAACCUAAAGGCGCAAUGAAAGUGAAGGUCAGCCCAGCGCUGACCGAGGGAAGAUGGGCGGUCACGGUUUCCGUGCCGCUCCGCACUCCCGGGGCGUCUCGUUCUCAUUGCGAGAAGAGGCGCACCAAGAGCGUACACGCUGGGACCCGAAAGAUGGUGAACUAUGCCUGGUCAGGACGAAGUCAGGGGAAACCCUGAUGGAGGUCCGUAGCGAUUCUGACGUGCAAAUCGAUCGUCGGAACUGGGUAUAGGGGCGAAAGACUAAUCGAACCAUCUAGUAGCUGGUUCCCUCCGAAGUUUCCCUCAGGAUAGCUGGCGCUCGUCGCCUACGAGUCUCAUCCGGUAAAGCGAAUGAUUAGAGGCAUUGGGGUCGAAACGGCCUCAACCUAUUCUCAAACUUUAAAUGGGUGAGAUCUCCGGCUUGCUCGAACUUAUGAAGCCGCGAGACACGGAUCAGAGUGCCAAGUGGGCCAUUUUUGGUAAGCAGAACUGGCGCUGUGGGAUGAACCAAACGCCGAGUUAAAGCGCCUAAAUCGACGCUUAUGGGAUACCAUGAAAGGCGUUGGUAACUUAAGACAGCAGGACGGUGGCCAUGGAAGUCGGAAUCCGCUAA
rnacentral:rRNA from 1 species